rnacentral:tRNA from 1 species
AGGCGAAUAAGUUAUGUUUAAACUGUGGGGUUCAUGUCCCCACAAUAUGAGUUUUCAUUUCGCCAA